CAUGGCUCAGAUUGAACGCAGGGGGCAGGCCUAACACAUGCAAGUCGAACGGUAGCACAGAGGAGCUUGCUCCUUGGGUGACGAGUGGCGGACGGGUGAGUAAUGUCUGGGAAACUGCCCGGUGGAGGGGGAUAACUACUGGAAACGGUAGCUAAUACCGCAUAACGUCGCAAGACCAAAGAGGGGGACCUUCGGGCCUCUUGCCAUCGGAUGUGCCCAGAUGGGAUUAGCUAGUAGGUGGGGUAACGGCUCACCUAGGCGACGAUCCCUAGCUGGUCUGAGAGGAUGACCAGCCACACUGGAACUGAGACACGGUCCAGACUCCUACGGGAGGCAGCAGUGGGGAAUAUUGCACAAUGGGCGCAAGCCUGAUGCAGCCAUGCCGCGUGUAUGAAGAAGGCCUUCGGGUUGUAAAGUACUUUCAGCGAGGAGGAAGGCGUUGAGGUUAAUAAC
rnacentral:rRNA from 1 species